rnacentral:ncRNA from 1 species
CGUAGUUCUCAGGGCGGGGUGGAAGUCCCCACCGGGGGUAUGGGGGUGCGCCCCUGAGCCCGCGAGCGCCCCUGCCGAAGCAGGGGGUCAGCAGACCCGGUGAGAGGCCGGGGCCGACGGUGAAAGUCCGGAUGGAAGUGAACGCGC